rnacentral:rRNA from 1 species
UUAUUGGAGAGUUUGAUCCUGGCUCAGGAUGAACGCUGGCGGCGUGCCUAAUACAUGCAAGUCGAGCGGACCAAAGAGAGCUUGCUCUCUGAGGUUAGCGGCGGACGGGUGAGUAACACGUGGGUAACCUGCCUGUAAGACGGGGAUAACUUCGGGAAACCGAAGCUAAUACCGGAUGAUAAAGAGAAACGCCUGUUUCUUUUUUGAAAGUCGGCCUUGUGCUGACGCUUACAGAUGGGCCCGCGGCGCAUUAGCUAGUUGGUGAGGUAACGGCUCACCAAGGCGACGAUGCGUAGCCGACCUGAGAGGGUGAUCGGCCACACUGGGACUGAGACACGGCCCAGACUCCUACGGGAGGCAGCAGUAGGGAAUCUUCGGCA